UCCUUUGGUCUGAUGAGUCCAAAUCGGAGAUUUUUGGUUCCAACCGUCGUGUCUUUGAAAGAUGCAGAGUAGGUGAAUAGAUGAUCUCUGCAUGUGUGGUUCCCACCGUGAAGCAUGGAGGAGGAGUUGUGAUGUUGUGGAGGUGCUUUGCCGGUAACACUGUUUGAUUUAUUUAGAAUUUAAAGCACACUUAACCAGCAUGGAUACCGCAGCAUUCUGCAGCGAUACACCAUCCCAUCUGUUUUGCGCUUAGUGGGACUAUCAUUUGUUUUUCAUCAGGACAGUGAUCCAAAAACACACCUCCAGUCUGUGUUAGGGCUAUUUGACAAAGAAGGAGAGUGAUGGAGUGAGUGCUGCAUCAGAUGACCUGGCCUCCACAAUCACCCGACCUCAACCCAACUGAGAUGGUUUGGGAUAAGUUGGACCGCAGAGUGAAGGAAAAGCAGCCAACAAGUGCUCAGCAUAUGUGGGAACUCCUUCAAGACGGUUGGAAAAGCAUUCCUCUUGAAGCUGGUUGAGAGAAUACCAACAGUAUGCAAAGCUGUCAUCAGGGCAAAGGGUGGGUACUUUGAAGAUAUAAAAUAUUUAACACUGUUUUGGUUACUACAUGAUUCCAUGUGUUAAUUCAUAGUUUUGAUGUCCUCACUAUUAUUCUACAAUGUAGAAAAUUGUGAAAAUAAAGAAAAACCCUUCAGUGAGUACAGUUGGUGUGUCCACACUAUGGACUGGUACCAUAUAUUCAUACUUCACCCUAUCAGUCUUCCGAGAUGAUGUGGAGAACACAUCCUGUUUGAGCGUAGAAUACAGCAGCAACUGCAAAAAUAUGUUUACACCAUAUUUUGUUGUAAUUUACUCAUUUAAUGGCACUUUUUUUUCACCUACAAGGAUCAACAAGGAGGCGUAUCUGUGUUUGUUUCUCUAUUUAGUGCACUUACUACCCCUUGAAAUAGGAGUGUUGUCGCCUGAGCUUUUUAGUAGUCUGGACUGUGUGUGGUGUGACUUUUGUACCUGAGGAGUCUAUAGGCUAAGAUGUCUUCCUUUUUUUCACAAAUUCUAUUUUUAAUGUUUUAUCUUACAAACAUUUACAAUUUCAACAAGUUUUAGAUAAAUCUUUGUUCUGAAAAUGUACCAUAAUAGACUGGAUACAAAACAUUUGGUGAUUGUUUAUGGUGAGGAGAAUAAUUAGUUAUGUUCUAAAUGAGAAAAUGUUUUUCCUAUGUUGAAGUUGAUCUGAUCAGAAGCUAUAUCCUAUAACUAGGGAGGCACCACACCUUUGAAUCUGAACUGUUAAAAAAAUGUUUUUUUAAGUGUUGUUUACCUGUGCAUUAUUACCCCUCAACUAAUUAAUAAAAAUGUUGUUGACUAAGUUUGACUGUUGCCAUUAUAUAUACAGUACUACACGAUUCUAUAUGCGUUAUUUCAUAGUUUUGAUGUCUUCACUAUUAUUCUACAAUGUAGAAAAUAGUAAAAAAUAAAUAUAAACCCUUGAAUGAGUAGGUGUGGCCAAACUGUUGACUGGUACUGUAUAUAAUACUGUACAUGAAUCACAUGACAUGACAGUGUCAUGUACCUCAACCAGUAAUGCGGGGCCGUCACAUAUUUUAUUCCCUGCCACCAGUGGUGUAAAGUACUUAAGUAAAAAUACUUUAA
rnacentral:lncRNA from 1 species